AACCGGUGACUUUGUGGUCGUUUUUGAAAUCAUUCAUAUGUAUACAAGACCUUUUGUCUUUUUUUCUAUGGUUAUACACUGUAGCGGAUGUGGAAAAAACAUCGCACAUGAAAUGCUAGAAGGUCUCAGCAGAUUUUAAAUAGAAGCUACUAUUGGGUCUGAAAUAGACUACGUCGGAGUAUCCAAAUCUUACUAUUCGUUAUCGCACAAUAAACUUCCAAACAAACCGGAUCUUACCAGUUUCCCUCUCCCGCCUUUUUUCAAGCGUUGCUAUAUUGACGGAUCAGAUACAUAAAAGGAUCGGAUUCUGAAAGUAGGUCAACAACAUUGCAGGACAAAGAAUUCGAGCUACCAGUGAACACAGAGGUGUAUCCUGAUCUUUCUUUGAAUUGAAGAUGAAGACGAAGACCUUGACUUGAAGAUGUCCUCAAACAUCCUGCUUAUGUUUUAACAUGGCGAUGGCUCACAAGUCUCUCUUUAAAGACCCAAAAUACAAGAACUGGGUCAGAGCUAGCUCUGGUUUAAAAUACCUUAAAGAAGGCUUAGAACCUUUCGUUGAUGAAAUUCUAAUGCAACAUCACCAAAAUAUCCUCGCUCAAAUUUUCCGUUCCGUACCAGCCAGCAAUUGCAACCAGUGUAAUUUAAAAAAACUUAAACCAAACCACGUCAGCGACAGGAAUAAACAAUGUCCGCUUGGACACGCAAAAUGUAAUUGUCAAUAUCCAAAUGGCAAAAUGGCAUGUCCCAACAAUAUUUGUGGCGAUUUCUAUGAUAAAAUCAUCCGUUCUCACGCCUCCAGUCCGCCAAAGCCAUAUUGGGAUAAUAUAAACAGUAUGUUCUGGUGUACAAACCACUGGGAAUUUGGAAAGUGUUUCAUCAACGCACCGGGAUAUGUUUCGAAAACCAAAGCAUCGGAAAUUGACUGUUCUGGUCUACUUCAUGUUAUUAUAAAUAACAUAGAAUUCCACAAUCAUAUUCAAAGCUGUAUCACUGGUUCGGACGUCUUCUCACAG
rnacentral:lncRNA from 1 species